CCCACAUAACUAAGGGCUGGUCAAGGGAUCAUUAAGGUGGGAAAUCCUGAAAGAGAAAACAGACCCACAGCAGUCUCCCUGGUUAUAUCUGCUAAUGCUAUUUACCUAACCCAGAUACAUGCAUGUGGCCUACAUUACCUACAUACCUAGAAAGAGAAAGUAAGAUGCGGUGGCAAGAGGUAUAUUCCUACUUACUCAUGACUAGGGCAUGCUCAGAAUCCAGAAAGAGGAAUAAGUGAACAUUCCGACUCCAAAAUCACCAUUUUAUUUCAUUUUUUUAUUUGUUAUUUUUUAGAUGUACAUGAUAGUAGAGUGUAUUUUGACAUAUUAUACAUACAUGCAGUAUAGCUUAUUCUAAUUAGGUUGUGUUCUAAUUGUGAUUAUACAUAGUAUGGUAUAAUACUGGUGAUGUAUUCAUAGGAAAGUUAUGUCCUGUUCAUUGCACUCUUGUUCCUAUUCCCAUCCCCACUUCUGUUCAUUCCUGUUUGUCUAUUCCAAUGAACUUCUAUUCUUCCCUCUUCCUGCCCCUUAUUGUGUGUUAGUAUCCCAUAUCAGAAAGAAUAUUCAGCCUUUGGUUUUAUGGGAUUGACUUAUUUCACUUAGCAUGAUAGUCUCCAGUUCCAUCCACUUACUGGCAAAUGCCAUAAUUUCAUUCCUGUUUGAUGUGGAGUAAUAGUCCAUUGUGCAGAUAUGGCACAUUUUCAUUGUCCAUUCAUCUGUUGAAGGGCACCUGGGUUGGUUCCAUAGCUUAGCUAUUGUGAAUUGAGGGGCUAUAAACAAUCAUGUGGCUACAUCACUGUAGUGUGCCGACUUUAAGUCCUUUGGGUAUAUAAAGAGGACUGGGAUAACUGGAUCAAAUGAUGAUUCCAUUCCAAGAUUUCUGAGGAAACUCCAUACUGCUUUUCAGAGUGGUUGCACCAAUUUGCAGUCCCACCAACAAUAUAUGAGUGUAUCUUCCCCCCCACAUCCUCACCAACAAUUAUUGUUACUUGUGUUCUUGAUAAUUGCUAUUCUGAUUGGAGUGAGAUGGAAUCUCAGUGUGGUUUUAAUUUGCACUUCUCCAAGUGCUAGAAAUGCUGAUCAUUUUUUUUCAUAUGUUUGUUGAUUAUUAAUAUUUCUUCUUCUGUGAAGUGCCCAUUCAGUUCCUUUGCCCAUUUAUUGAUUGGGUUGUUUGGGGGUUUUGGUGUUAGGUUUAUUUAAGUUCUUUAAAUAUCCUGGAGAUUAAUGCUCUGAGGUGCAGGUGGCAAAGAUUUUCUCCUAUUAUGUAAGCUCUCUCUUCAUGUUCUUGAUUAUUUACUUUGCUGUGAAGAAACUUUUUAGUUUGAUACCGUCUCAUUUAUUGAUUCUUGAUUUUACUUCUCGUGCUUUAGGAGUCUUGUUGAGGAAUUUUGUUCCCAAGCCAACAUGAUGAAUAUUUGCCUACUUUUUCUUCUAGUAGACACAGGGUCUUUGGUUUAAUGCCUAGGUCCUGUUCUACUUGGAGUUGAGUUUUGUGCAGGGUGAAAGACAGGGGUUCAAUUUCAUUUUACAACAUAUGGAUUUCCAGUUUUCCCAACACCAUUUGUUGAAGGGGCUAUCUUUUUCUCCAGUAUAUGUUUUUGUCACAUUUUUCUAGUAUGAGAUAAAUGUAUUUAUGUGGGUUUGUCUGUGUGUCUUCUAUUCUGCUCAGUUGGUCUUCAUGUCUGUUUUGGUGCCAAUACCAUGCCAUUUUUUAUUACUAUAGCUCGGUAGUAUAAUUUAAGAUAUGGUAUUGUGAUACCUCCUGCUUCAAUUUUCUCACUGGGAAUUACUUUAGCUACUCUAGACCCUUUAUGUUUCCAAAUUAAUUUCAUGACUUCUUUUUCUAUUCCUAUGAAGAAUAACAUUGGAACUCUUAUUUAUUUAUUUAUUAUUUAUUUAUUCAAGUUUAUUAUACAUGAAAGCAGAUGAAUUUCAAUUUAUAGUACACAUACAGAGCACAAUUUUUCAUGUCUCUGGUUGUACACAAAGUAGAGUCACACCAUUCAUAUCUUCAUACAUGUACUUAGGGCAAUGAUGUUCAUCUCAUUCCACCAUCUUCCCUACCCUAUGUACUUACCCUACUCCUCCAUCCCCUUUGCCUAUCUAAAGCUCCUCCAUUUCUCUCAUGCUCCUCACUGCCCCUCAUCCCCAAUAUGGAUCAGCAUCCACAUAUCAGAGAAAACAGUCAGCAUUUUUUUUAUUGGCUUACUUUAUAAUAUUCCCCAGCUCCAUCCAUUUACCUAAAAAUGCCAUUAUUUUAUUCCCUUUUAAUGCGGAGUAAUAUUCUAUUGUGUAUAUAUACCACAUUUUCUUUAUCCAUUCAUCCACUGAAGGACAUCUAGCUUGGUUCCACAGUGUAGCUAUUGUAAAGUGCGCUGCUAUAAACAUUGAUGUGGCUGCAUCACGGUAGUAUGCUGUUUUUAAGUCCUUUGGGCAUAAACUGAUGAGUGGGAUAGCUGGGUCAAAUUAUGGUUCCAUUCCAAGUUUUUCAAGGAAUCUCCAUACUGCUUUCCAUCUUGGCUGCACCAAUUUGCAGUCCCACCAGCAAUGUAUGAAUGUACCUUUCACCCCACAUCUUCGCCAACACUUAUUGUUGUUUGUGUUCUUAAUAGCUGCCAUUCUGACUGGAGUGAGAUGAAAUCUUAAGAGUAGUUUUGAUUUGCAUUUCUCUAAUUGCUAAAGAUGUUGAACAUUUUUUCAUAUAUUUGUUGAUUGAUUGUAUAUUAUCUUCUGAGAAGUGUCUGUUAAGUUCCUUGGUCCAUUUAUUGAUUGUGUUAUUUGGUUUUUUUUCGGUAUUAAAAUUCUUGAGUUCUUUAAAUAUCAUAGAGUUUAGUGCUCUCUCUGAUGUGCAUGUGGUAAAAAUUUGUUUCAAUUCUGUAGACUCUCUAUUCACCUCACUGAUUGUUUCUUUUGCUGAGAAAAAGCUUUUUAGUUUGAAUCCAUCCAUUUAUUGAUUCUUGAUUUUAUUUCUUGCACUAUGGAAGUCUUAUUAGGGAUGUUAGGGCCUAAUCCAACAUGAUGAAGAUUUGGGCCUACUUUUUUUCUAUUAGGCAAGGAUCUCUGGUAUAAUUCCUAGGUCCUUGAUCCACUUUUAGUUGAGUUUUGUGCAUGGUGAGAGAUAAGGGUUUAGUUUCAUAUUGCUGCAUAUGGAUUUGCAGUUUUCCAAGCACCAUUUGUUAAAGAGGCUAUCUUUUCUUCAAUAUAUGUUUUGGCACCUUUGUCUAAUAUGAGAUAACUGUAUUCAUGUGGGUUUGUGUCUGUGUCUUCUAUUCUGUACCAUUGGUCUACUAGUCUAUUUUGGUGCCAAUACCAUGCUGUUUUUUUUUUAAUACUGCUCUGUAGUAUUGUUUAAGGCCUGGUAUAGAGAUGCCAUCUUCUUCAAUCUUCUUGCUAAGGAUUGCUUUGGCUAUUCUGGAUCUCUUAUUUUUCCAGAUGAAUUUUAUGACUAUUUUUUCUAUUUCUAUGAGAAAUGUUAUUGGGAUUUUGAUUGGAAUUGCAUUAAAUCUGUAUACUGCUUUUGAUAGUAUGGUCAUUUUGACAAUAUCAAUUCUGCCUAUCCAAGAACUAGGGAUAUCUUUCCAUCUUCUAAGGUCUUCUUUAAUUUCUUUCUUUAGCAUUCUGUAGUUUUCAUUGUAGAGGUCUUUCACCUCUUUUAUUAAGUUGAUUCCCAAGUAUUUUAUUUUUUGAGGCUGUUGUAAAUGGGGUAGUUUUGCUAGUUUCUCUUUCAGAGAAUUUGUCACUUAUAUACAUAAAUGCCUUUGAUUUAUGGGUGUUGAUUUUGUAUCCUGAUGAAUGGUUCCCUUAAGUAGUAUGAAAUGCCCAUCUUUAUCCCUUUUGAUUAACUUUGGCUUGAAGUCUACUUUUUAUAUGAAGAUGGAGACCACUGCUUGUUUCUAUACUCUAUGUUAGUGGCAUGAUUUUUCCCAACCUUUCACCUUCAGUCUGUGGAUGUCUUUUCCUAUGAGAUGAUCUCUUGAAGAAAGCACAUUGUUGGGUCUUUUAAAAUCCAACCUGCCAGUCUAUGUCUCUUCAUUGGUGAGUUUAGGUCAUUAACAUUCAGAUUAUUAUUGAGACAUGAUUUGUAUUUCUGAUGAUUUUUGUUUAUUUUUGGUAUUUAACUUAAAUGGUUUCUCCUUUAAUUGGUUUUUCCUUUAGUGUAAUACCUCCCUUUGAUGAUUUUUAUUGUUGUUUUUCAUUUCCUCCUCAUGGAAUAUUUUGUCAAGGAUGUUCUUUGGUGCAGGCUUUCGAGUUGUAAAUAUUUUUAACUUUUGUUUAUCAUGGUAGGUUUUUAUUUUGUCAUUGAAUCUAAAGCUUAAUUUUGCUGGAUUUAAGAUUCUUGGUUGGCAUCCAUUUUCUUUCAGAGCUUGGUAUAUGUUAUUCCAGGAUCUUCUAGCUUUCAAGGUCUGGGUUGAAAAAUCUGCAGAUAACCUAAUUGGUUUUCCCCUAUAUGUAAUCUGAAAAUUUUCUCUUGUGGCUUUUAAAAUUCUCUUCUUAUUCUGUAUGUUAGGCAUUUUCAUUAUAUAAUGUUCCUUGGUGUGCAUCUGUUGUGAUUUUGUACAUUUGGCAUCCUGUAAGAAUGAAUUUUCCAAUUUAUUCUUCAUGUUUCAAAAUUUUUCUGAUAUUAUUUCAUUGAAUAGAUUGUUCAUUCCUUUGGUUUGGAAUCCUACGACUUCCUCUACCCAAUAAUUCUUAAAUUUGGUCUUUCUAUGUUAUCCCAUAAUUCUUGAAUAUUCUUCUCACGGUUUCUUACAUGUGGACUACAUUCUUUUCAAGAUUUUAUAAUUUGUCUUCAAUGUCUGAGGUCCUGUCUUCCAAGUGAUCUAAUUGUGGUGCUUUCAUUUGAACUUUUAAUUUUGUUUAUUGUUUCUUUCAUUUCAAGGAUUUGUGUUUGUUUGUUUGUUUCAGAACCUCUAUCUUUUUAUUGAAAUGAUCUUUUGUUUCCUGUAUUUGCUUAUGUAGCUCUUUAUCAAAAUGAUCUUUUACUGUUUGUAUUUUCUCUUUUAUAUCAUUUUUCAAUUUGCAGAACAUUUUAAUUAUGUACAUCCUGAACUCCAGCUCUGUAAUUUCUUCAGUUGUGCUUGUCAUGGAUUCUCUUAAUGUAGUAUCUUGGUUUGUUUGGAGCAUUUUCUUCCCUUGUUUUUUCUUAUUAUUUGUGUCUUCCCUUCUAGCAUUACAUUUUUUUAACCUAUAGGCUUAUAAUGUUCCUGCAUGGCCCCAAUACCUCUCAUUUAAGGGGAAGAACAAUAUUAACUAAUUCCAAUACAAACAAUAUACAGCCUCAAACAAAAUAGCUGCUAUGAAAAUGUCUACAGUUGUGUCACAAUAUACAGAAAUGGUGAGUUCAGUUAUUACCUACAAUAUAUUCAGUAGGUUUGCAAAAGGGUCUACUGUUUCUGAUGGUGGACAAAGAACCAGGGAUGAGGUGUGGGAUGAGAUGUUGAGGGGGUAGGAGGUGAGAGGAUACAGAGUUAUUAGAUCUUAAGAAGCAUGAAAGAGGAAUCUAAAGAAGUUGAUUAGUAGCAGGAGAAGAGAGAGAAAUUGAUUUUCAGGAGACAAGUAAGUGGGAAGACAAUAGAGAGAGUAAAAAAACAAAAACAAACCUAAUAUUAGGAAAAAUUAAAAAAUGUAAAAAUAGGAGAUUAAAAAAUGUACAACAAAACUGUAACAUACUAUUCAGACAGUAGCAUAAUUCAUAAAAUGUACUUGGUUUCACAAAUGUUGUGGAUGUGAGGCUGGGAGAAGUGAGAGAGAGAGACAAAAGAGAAACAAAAAUCUCAAAGAGAGAUACAAGGAUUGUUUUUGCUGGAGAUUAGUAUCUUUCCUGAUUCCCUUCUCAUCCAAUAAAUGGGGUUGUCUGUUUGCUGGUAUCUCCACCCUCAGGAUGGUGAAAGUUAUUAGGGUGAGAGGGUUGGUCUACAGGGAAAAGCUCCUGGAGGUGGAGUAUAGCAUUUGCAGGUCCCUGAUAGGAGACUGCACCCCCAAGGAUUUCCUUUGGGGCCUGCUCAUGUGACGUGGGUGCCUGGUCUUAUCUCCUUAUAUGGACUGUAAACCUCACAAUUCCUGGUCUCUAAUUUAGUCUCUAAACUGUAUCUCACUCACCCUCUCCCUUUCUACUUCCCAAUCAGGAACCUCUCUCUCCGAAGGUCUUGUAGGCUGUGCUCUGGGUGCUGCACACCUGUUGCAGAGAGCUGUUUUGUAUUGGGAAGUUCAGGACCAGGUUUUGUGAGCUACAGAUCGGCUGCAUAGCUGCAAGCACAAUGCCGGGUUAGUGGCUGCUGGGAAGAGGAAAGUUGGGGACUAGAGAUACUUUGAUAUUGCUUCUAAGACCCAGCCAAUGUCCCAAGCUUGGAGUUGCCCCAACUAAGAUGGCAACAAAGGUGUCCCAAGAUGCAGGUGGCUGCUUUCAGCAACGGAGUGUUGUGUUGGGUGGGCCCUGGAGGUGGCAUUGGGUGGUGUGUUCAAAGAUGCAGCUCUGUGGCAUGUAGUGUUGUGGCUAGAGGCUGUCUCCAGACCCUGUGCGGUGUCCCCAGGUGCAAGCUAUCAUAUGUAGGGGAGUAUGGCAGUGGUUGCAAUGUCCCAAGAUGGAGGCGACCUGGGGAGCCCCACAUUGUUAGAUGAGGGUCCACAGAGUAGUGGCGGCUGGGGGUCCUGCAUGGGAGCAGCAGCCAGAAUUCCUGCAAGUGUGCUGAUGCUGGUGGUCCUGUUCGGGCAUCCAGAGGUCCUGCGUAGGCAAGUGGCUAGGAGUUCUGCACUGACACUGAGGCUUGGAGACCUGUGCAGGCACAGCUGCCAUGAUUUCAGCAUAGGAACAGCUGUCAAGGGUCCUCUAACCACUCACAGAGAAAUAGUAUUCCCACUACUUGAAUCCCAGGUCACAGAGCAACACAAAAUGCAGCCUCCCUCUAGCCUGCCCUCUUAUAUCCCCUCAUUGGAAUUGUAAUAAGAAUUGCAUUAAAUCUGUAGAGCACUUUUGCUAGUUUAGCCAUUUUAACAAUAUCAAUUCUGCCUAUUCACGAACAAGGGAGAUCUUUCAUGGUAUUUUUAAUUUUCUUGCUUGAAAUUGAUCUGUUUAAAUUUUCUAUGUCUUUUUGAUUUUAUUUGGGUAGACCAUUUGUCUCUAGAAAUUUGUUGAGGUUCUCAAGAUUUUCUAUUUUAUUAGAGUAUAAAUUUUCAAAAUAGUUUCUGAUUAUCAUCUGCACAUUGUGAUAUUGUCUUUUUCAUCACAAGUUUUAGUGAUUUGAGUUUUUUCUCUCUUUCUCUUCAUUAGCUUGUCUAAGGGUUUUUCAGUUUUCCUUAUUUUUUUUCAAAAACCAACUUUUU
rnacentral:lncRNA from 1 species